AGGUGUAGGUGGACGGCUGACGGUGAAGGGAUUAAUCCCCUUUCAAAAACCUCUUAACUUGGGGUGUCAAGAGGGGAAACCCCUUUGCUGAGGAAAGUCCUCCCUCACUCUGGACCAGGGAUCCACGCAAGUGGAAGGAGCGAGAGUUCCUGCAGAGGAGCAGAAACGACACAGCCAGCAGAUUAUGCGAUGAUACGCGUUUGGCGUUGAGGUCUCUGCUGGAUUUGGUGAAACGGCCAAUCUGCCCCUGGAGCAAGCCCAAACAGCGGGGAUCGGUUGUCCAGACCGCUCCGCAGGUAGGGCGCUUAGUAGAAUGCCGUCUUAAAACAGAAGGAGGCUUACGGCCUACACCU
rnacentral:RNase_P_RNA from 1 species